rnacentral:rRNA from 1 species
CUUCAGAUCACCGAAGUCAAGCAUCAUUGGGCGCGGUCAGUACUUGAGUGGGUGGCCACCUGGGAACACCGCGUGCCGUU